rnacentral:rRNA from 1 species
GAAGAAGGCCUUCGGGUUGUAAAGUACUUUCAGCAGUGAGGAAGGUGGUAGUGUUAAUAGCACUAUCAUUUGACGUUAGCUGCAGAAGAAGCACCGGCUAAUUCCGUGCCAGCAGCCGCGGUAAUACGGAGGGUGCGAGCGUUAAUCGGAAUUACUGGGCGUAAAGCGCAUGCAGGUGGUUUGUUAAGUCAGAUGUGAAAGCCCGGGGCUCAACCUUGGAAUUGCAUUUGAAACUGGCAGACUAGAGUACUGUAGAGGGGGGUAGAAUUUCAGGUGUAGCGGUGAAAUGCGUAGAGAUCUGAAGGAAUACCGGUGGCGAAGGCGGCCCCCUGGACAGAUACUGACACUCAGAUGCGAAAGCGUGGGGAGCAAACAGGAUUAGAUACCCUGGUAGUCCACGCCGUAAACGAUGUCUACUUGGAGGUUGUGGCCUUGAGCCGUGGCUUUCGGAGCUAACGCGUUAAGUAGACCGCCUGGGGAGUACGGUCGCAAGAUUAAAACUCAAAUGAAUUGACGGGGGCCCGCACAAGCGGUGGAGCAUGUGGUUUAAUUCGAUGCAACGCGAAGAACCUUACCUACUCUUGACAUCCACAGAAGUUUCCAGAGACAGUUUGGUGCCUUCGGGAACUGUGAGACAGGUGCUGCAUGGCUGUCGUCAGCUCGUGUUGUGAAAUGUUGGGUUAAGUCCCGCAACGAGCGCAACCCUUAUCCUUGUUUGCCAGCGAGUAAUGUCGGGAACUCCAGGGAGACUGCCGGUGAUAAACCGGAGGAAGGUGGGGACGACGUCAAGUCAUCAUGGCCCUUACGAGUAGGGCUACACACGUGCUACAAUGGCGCAUACAGAGGGCGGCCAACUUGCGAAAGUGAGCGAAUCCCAAAAAGUGCGUCGUAGUCCGGAUUGGAGUCUGCAACUCGACUCCAUGAAGUCGGAAUCGCUAGUAAUCGUAGAUCAGAAUGCUACGGUGAAUACGUUCCCGGGCCUUGUACACACCGCCCGUCACACCAUGGGAGUGGGCUGCAAAAGAAGUGGGUAGU